rnacentral:tRNA from 2 species
UAUUAUUAUUAUUUUGGCAGAUUAGUGCUUUAAAUUUAGAAUUUAAUUAUGUGGAGAUACACAAAUAAUAC